CUAGUACCAGCAUACCCAAAAGGGGGUGCUGGUUCAAAAACAAUAAUUUUUAUCUUUCUUGCUCUCCCUUAGCAGCGGGAAAGGAGUCUAUCUAUCUGCCUAGCUUUGGUAGAUUUCCCCCAACGCAAUCCACAGAAAUUCCACAAAUCGGGCCCUUACUCCGUCCCACACAGUGUAUUACUAUCGGCCCUACCAAACAACAUCUACCUACACAAGCUCGAUCAGGAGAUAGGGAGGAUCCAACAGAAGUACGAAAUUCCAAUACUAUUGAAGCGCGUACGCAAUGAACCUCUCACGUUUCACUGAGAUUGUUGCUUAGUCCUAAAUAUCUACUCGUGGAGGGAGGGGAGGCAAUAGAUUCAUCUUAGGCGGUAAGCGAAGGAACUAUAGGGCUUAGGGCAGCCUCAGAUUUUUCUUCAAUAGGCUCUAAGGGAGGUGAGAAGAGAGCCAAUAGCUAUUAUAGAAGGACUUUGGGUUCAUCCCUCUUCUUCAACAUCCAAGCCUCCCCUAGAUUCCAUGCUAUGGAUUGUGUUUGAUAUGAAUUUAGUAACACUUGUGAUAUAAAUAUUUUACAAAGCAUGACUUAAUGUCAUGAAAUAUUUUGAAAUCAUAACAUUUUAGAAUCACUAAAAAGAUGGGUAUUACACUAUGGGGUGACCGUUUCUUCCUGAUUUAGUGUUCUCUAUAAGUGAAUUCUCUUUUAGCAGGUUUGAAGUCUUAGGAUUAUAAACCCUAUAUGUUAUUCUAUGUGCAUGGUUUAGAUUUGUUAGAUUUAUCAAGGUGGAAGAUUAAAAUCGUUUGGUUCAAAAUUUACGUUCUAUAUGGGUUGGAAAUUACAUUAUUUGCUUCGGUAGCAAGAUUUNUCUCUAGUACCAGCAUACCCAAAAGGGGGUGCUGGUUCAAAAACAAUAAUUUUUAUCUUUCUUGCUCUCCCUUAGCAGCGGGAAAGGAGUCUAUCUAUCUGCCUAGCUUUGGUAGAUUUCCCCCAACGCAAUCCACAGAAAUUCCACAAAUCGGGCCCUUACUCCGUCCCACACAGUGUAUUACUAUCGGCCCUACCAAACAACAUCUACCUACACAAGCUCGAUCAGGAGAUAGGGAGGAUCCAACAGAAGUACGAAAUUCC
rnacentral:lncRNA from 1 species